rnacentral:rRNA from 1 species
GAUGAACGCUGGCGGCGUGCCUAAUACAUGCAAGUCGAGCGAACGGACGAGAAGCUUGCUUCUCUGAUGUUAGCGGCGGACGGGUGAGUAACACGUGGAUAACCUACCUAUAAGACUGGGAUAACUUCGGGAAACCGGAGCUAAUACCGGAUGAUAUUUUGAACCGCAUGGUUCAAAAGUGAAAGACGGUCUUGCUGUCACUUAUAGAUGGAUCCGCGCUGCAUUAGCUAGUUGGUAAGGUAACGGCUUACCAAGGCAACGAUGCAUAGCCGACCUGAGAGGGUGAUAGCCCACACUGGAACUGAGACACGGUCAAGACUCCUACGGGAGGCAGCAGUAGGGAAUCGUCCGCAAUGGGCGAAAGCCUGACGGAGCAAGGCCGCGUGAGUGAUGAAGGUCUUCGGAGCGUAAAACUCUGUUAUGAGGGAAGAACAUAUGUGUAAGUAACUGUGCACAUCUUGACGGUACCUAAUCAGAAAGCCACGGCUAACUACGUG